GGUUAAGCGACCAAGCGUACACGGUGGAUGCCCUGGCAGUCAGAGGCGAUGAAGGACGUGCUAAUCUGCGAAAAGCGCCGGCGAGGUGAUAUGAACCCUUGACCCGGCGAUGUCCGAAUGGGGAAACCCAGUGUGACUCGUCACACUAUCAUUAACUGAAUCCAUAGGUUAAUGAGGCGAACCGGGGGAACUGAAACAUCUAAGUACCCCGAGGAAAAGAAAUCAACCGAGAUUCCCCCAGUAGCGGCGAGCGAACGGGGAGGAGCCCAGAGCCUGAAUCAGCAGGUGUGUUAGUGGAAGCGUCUGGAAAGGCGCGCGAUACAGGGUGAGAGCCCCGUACACGAAAAUGCACCUGGUGUGAGCUCGAUGAGUAGGGCGGGACACGUGGUAUCCUGUCUGAAUAUGGGGGGACCAUCCUCCAAGGCUAAAUACUCCUGACUGACCGAUAGUGAACCAGUACCGUGAGGGAAAGGCGAAAAGAACCCCGGCGAGGGGAGUGAAAAAGAACCUGAAACCGUGUACGUACAAGCAGUGGGAGCACAGGUUUACCUGUGUGACUGCGUACCUUUUGUAUAAUGGGUCAGCGACUUAUAUUCUGUAGCAAGGUUAACCGAAUAGGGGAGCCGGAGGGAAACCGAGUCUUAAUUGGGCGUUAAGUUGCAGGGUAUAGACCCGAAACCCGGUGAUCUAGCCAUGGGCAGGUUGAAGGUUGGGUAACACUAACUGGAGGACCGAACCGACUAAUGUUGAAAAAUUAGCGGAUGACCUGUGGCUGGGGGUGAAAGGCCAAUCAAACCGGGAGAUAGCUGGUUCUCCCCGAAAGCUAUUUAGGUAGCGCCUCGUGAACUCAUCUCCGGGGGUAGAGCACUGUUUCGGCUAGGGGGCCAUCCCGGCUUACCAACCCGAUGCAAACUGCGAAUACCGGAGAAUGUUAUCACGGGAGACACACGGCGGGUGCUAACGUCCGUCGUGAAGAGGGAAACAACCCAGACCGCCAGCUAAGGUCCCAAAGUCAUGGUUAAGUGGGAAACGAUGUGGGAAGGCCCAGACAGCCAGGAUGUUGGCUUAGAAGCAGCCAUCAUUUAAAGAAAGCGUAAUAGCUCACUGGUCGAGUCGGCCUGCGCGGAAGAUGUAACGGGGCUAAACCAUGCACCGAAGCUGCGGCAGCGGCACGCAAGUGUUGUUGGGUAGGGGAGCGUUCUGUAAGCCGUUGAAGGUGUGCUGUGAGGCAUGCUGGAGGUAUCAGAAGUGCGAAUGCUGACAUAAGUAACGAUAAAGCGGGUGAAAAGCCCGCUCGCCGGAAGACCAAGGGUUCCUGUCCAACGUUAAUCGGGGCAGGGUGAGUCGACCCCUAAGGCGAGGCCGAAAGGCGUAGUCGAUGGGAAACGGGUUAAUAUUCCCGUACUUGGUGUUACUGCGAAGGGGGGACGGAGAAGGCUAUGUUGGCCGGGCGACGGUUGUCCCGGUUUAAGCGUGUAGGCUGGUUUUCCAGGCAAAUCCGGAAAAUCAAGGCUGAGGCGUGACGACGAGGCACCACGGUGCUGAAGCAACAAAUGCCCUGCUUCCAGGAAAAGCCUCUAAGCGUCAGGUAACAUCAAAUCGUACCCCAAACCGACACAGGUGGUCAGGUAGAGAAUACCAAGGCGCUUGAGAGAACUCGGGUGAAGGAACUAGGCAAAAUGGUGCCGUAACUUCGGGAGAAGGCACGCUGACAUGUAGGUGAAGCGGUUUACCCGUGGAGCUGAAGUCAGUCGAAGAUACCAGCUGGCUGCAACUGUUUAUUAAAAACACAGCACUGUGCAAACACGAAAGUGGACGUAUACGGUGUGACGCCUGCCCGGUGCCGGAAGGUUAAUUGAUGGGGUCAGCGGUAACGCGAAGCUCCUGAUCGAAGCCCCGGUAAACGGCGGCCGUAACUAUAACGGUCCUAAGGUAGCGAAAUUCCUUGUCGGGUAAGUUCCGACCUGCACGAAUGGCGUAAUGAUGGCCAGGCUGUCUCCACCCGAGACUCAGUGAAAUUGAACUCGCUGUGAAGAUGCAGUGUACCCGCGGCAAGACGGAAAGACCCCGUGAACCUUUACUAUAGCUUGACACUGAACACUGGUCCUUGAUGUGCAGGAUAGGUGGGAGGCUUUGAAGCGUGGACGCCAGUCUGCGUGGAGCCAUCCUUGAAAUACCACCCUUUAAUGGCUGGUGUUCUAACGUGGGCCCCUGACCGGGGUUGCGGACAGUGUCUGGUGGGUAGUUUGACUGGGGCGGUCUCCUCCCAAAGAGUAACGGAGGAGCACGAAGGUUGGCUAAUCCUGGUCGGACAUCAGGAGGUUAGUGCAAUGGCAUAAGCCAGCUUGACUGCGAGCGUGACGGCGCGAGCAGGUGCGAAAGCAGGUCAUAGUGAUCCGGUGGUUCUGAAUGGAAGGGCCAUCGCUCAACGGAUAAAAGGUACUCCGGGGAUAACAGGCUGAUACCGCCCAAGAGUUCAUAUCGACGGCGGUGUUUGGCACCUCGAUGUCGGCUCAUCACAUCCUGGGGCUGAAGUAGGUCCCAAGGGUAUGGCUGUUCGCCAUUUAAAGUGGUACGCGAGCUGGGUUUAGAACGUCGUGAGACAGUUCGGUCCCUAUCUGCCGUGGGCGCUGGAAGAUUGAGGGGGGCUGCUCCUAGUACGAGAGGACCGGAGUGGACGCAUCACUGGUGUUCGGGUUGUCAUGCCAAUGGCACUGCCCGGUAGCUAAAUGCGGAAGAGAUAAGUGCUGAAAGCAUCUAAGCACGAAACUUGCCCCGAGAUGAAUCUUCCCUGAGACUUUAAGUCUCCUGAAGGAACGUUGAAGACGACGACGUUGAUAGGCCGGGUGUGUAAGCGCAGCGAUGCGUUGAGCUAACCGGUACUAAUGAACCGUGAGGCUUAACCUU
rnacentral:rRNA from 2 species